rnacentral:rRNA from 1 species
UAGGGAAUAUUGGACAAUGGGUGAGAGCCUGAUCCAGCCAUGCCGCGUGCAGGAAGACGGCCUUCUGGGUUGUAAACUGCUUUUGUCAGGGGAUAAAAAGCUUUGCGAAGCGAAUUGAAGGUACCUGGCGAAUAAGCCACGGCUAACUACGUGCCAGCAGCCGCGGUAAUACGUAGGUGGCAAGCGUUGUCCGGAUUUAUUGGGUUUAAAGGGUGCGUAGGCGGUCUAUUAAGUCAGUGCUGAAAUAUCCCGGCUUAACCGGGAGGGUGGCAUUGAUACUGAUGGACUUGAGUGCAGUCGAGGUAGGCGGAAUUGACGGUGUAGCGGUGAAAUGCUUAGAUAUCGUCAAGAACACCGAUAGUGUAGACAGCUUACUAGGCUGUAACUGACGCUGAGGCACGAAAGUGUGGGGAUCAAACAGGAUUAGAUACCCUGGUAGUCCACACUGUAAACGUUGAUGACUCGCUGUUGGCGAUACACAGUCAGCGGCUUAGA